rnacentral:rRNA from 1 species
UACGAAGGGGGCGAGCGUUGUUCGGAUUUACUGGGCGUAAAGGGCGCGCAGGCGGUUCUGUUUGUCGAGUGUGAAAGCCCCGGGCUCAACCUGGGAACUGCAUUUGUGACUGCAUCGCUGGACGUGCGGCAGAGGGGGAUGGAAUUCCGCGUGUAGCAGUGAAAUGCGCAGAUAUCAGGAGGAAUACCCAUGGCGAAGGCAGUUCGACUGGGCAUUAAUCUGACGCUGAGGCGCGAAAAACGUGGGUAGCAAACGAGG